GGAGAGGUGCAGGAGUGGCUGAACUGGCAGCAUUGGAAAUGCUGUGAACCUGUUAAGGGUUCCGUGGGUUCGAAUCCCACUCUCUCCGCCA
rnacentral:tRNA from 1 species